rnacentral:rRNA from 1 species
AACGAACGCUGGCGGCAUGCCUAACACAUGCAAGUCGAACGAGACCUUCGGGUCUAGUGGCGCACGGGUGCGUAACGCGUGGGAACCUGCCCUUAGGUUCGGAAUAACUCCCCGAAAGGGGUGCUAAUACCGGAUAAUGUCUUCGGACCAAAGAUUUAUCGCCUUUGGAUGGGCCCGCGUUGGAUUAGCUAGUUGGUAGGGUAAAAGCCUACCAAGGCGACGAUCCAUAGCUGGUCUGAGAGGAUGAUCCGCCACACUGGGACUGAGACACGGCCCAGACUCCUACGGGAGGGAGGAGUGGGGAAUAUUGGACAAUGGGCGAAAGCAUGAUCCAGCAAUGCCGCGUGAGUGAUGAAGGCCUUAGGGUUGUAAAGCUCUUUUACCCGGGAUGAUAAUGACAGUACCGGGAGAAUAAGCACCGGCUAACUCCGUG